UACCUGAUCUUGCCCGUAACAUACGCUUGUCUCAAAGAUUAAGCCAUGGAUGUUUAAGUACACCCAGCUGGUACAGUGAAUUUGUGAAUGGCUCAUUAAAUCAGUUUUGGUUCCUGUGGUUGCUUGCUCCUUUCCUGUUUGAAUAACUGGUAAUUGUAUAGAUAAUACAUCAUGAUAAGCACUAGCCCCAUUUGUUGGGGGGGGGAGCUGUGUGCAUUUAUCAAAUCAAAACCCACCUGGACAAAUCAUCUUCCUCUUGGACAGAGGUGAGCACCAGUGUCUUUGUUGAUCCUAGAUAACAUGCCCCAAUAUUGGCAAUGACCCCAUUCAACAAGCUUCCCUGUCAACUUUCAGUGCUAGAUGUUGUGCCUACCGUGGUGACCACGGGUGAUGGAUGCUGGGAAAUCAGGGCUUGAUUCCUGAAAGGGAGGCUGAGAAUUGUCUACUACAUCCAUAAUACAGGAGUCUUUUGAGGCCCUGUAAAUGGAAUGAUUACACUUAAAAUAUUUUUCUGAGGAUCCAUUUGAAGAAAAGUGGGGUGCCACAAGCCACAGGGCCCCUGGAGUGAUCUAGGUCAUCCCUCAGGUGCCCAAGGCUGAGCAGUGAUGGCAUCUCAUGUUCCCAGUGAGCCCCUUGGGUCUCCACUGUGCUGCUACAUCCUGUGAGCAGAUUUAUUGGGGGUUGAAAUGAUAAUGUAGGCACACAUAUUCCCCUUAUGGGACAGCUGCCUCUUUAUGGUUGUUUUCAUUGAAUGCUUAGAUUGACUUGGCCAGGUUCAUUACAUGAGUUCCCUUUUCUUACCAUUGUGCAUAUGAUGUAUGAGCAAUAUUGGUGGGCAAGACAAUGUGAGGGGGACCUCAAAGGUGAAGAAAAUCCUCCUGGUAAGGCAAAUGGACAAGCCUGAGGCAGCACAGGUGUUCCAAGCCUUCACUCUGAAUGCUCAACUUACCCACAUCACAAAAUCCCUGGACCCCCUAGAACUAAAUUAUGGACUGGUGGAAGCUGGACCAGAGUAAGAGCAUUUGCCAAGAAUAUUUUCAUUAUUGAAGAAUGAAAGUUGAUUCUAAGACAAUUGGAUAGUAUAAAUAUGACCAUAAAUGAUGCCAAUUGGCACUGUGAUAACAUUCCCGUGACCCACUGAGCUGCUUGUAGGAAACCAAAGUCUGGGUUCCACAGGGAGUAUGAUUGCAAAGCUGAAACUUUAAAGGAACUGAUGGUAGUGGACCACCAGGAACGGGAGCCUAUGGCUUAAUUUGACUCAGCAUGGGAUACCUCCAUUUGUCCAGACAUGGACAGGUUUGACAAACCAAUAGCUCUGCCUUUAUGCCAUGUGUGGUGGUGCAUGGUCAUUCUUAGUUGGCGGAGCCAUUGGUUAAUUUUGACAAUGAAACAGACUCUGGCAUGCUAACUAGUUAUGUGACCCACAAGCAUUCCUGUUUCCCAACCACUUAGAUGGACCAGUGGUAUUAGGCCCCUAAGAUAUAUCAAUAAUCAGCAAUGCCCCCCUUAGAUAUGUGGGCUGCAGGUAUGCUACAUUGACUGUUUCAGUGUGUGCCUAGCCUAUGCCAGCAAGUCUAGGUAACCUUUUGAAUCCCAUUUUGAAUGAUAUUGGGGAUUUCAGUUUUUCCUGAUGAAAAGGAAUUCCCAAUUGAGGUUAUAAGCUUGUCUUAAGUCCUAGUCUCUUGUAUACACACCCUAUAGCUAAUACCAAUUAAGUGGCUUGAUGAGGACCUUGGAUCAGCCCAACUGGGUUUGGCCUAUGACCCUGGUGGAUUUCUGAUUAGAUUGUUGGAUAUCAUUUACAGGCCUAAAACAUUUUCUAUAGAUGAACCUGUGGAUGGAUGUUUA
rfam:Camelus ferus isolate Naran unplaced genomic scaffold scaffold1743, whole genome shotgun sequence.